rnacentral:rRNA from 1 species
GCCGUAAACGAUGAGUGCUAAGUGUUAGGGGGUUUCCGCCCCUUAGUGCUGCAGCUAACGCAUUAAGCACUCCGCCUGGGGAGUACGACCGCAAGGUUGAAACUCAAAGGAAUUGACGGGGGCCCGCACAAGCGGUGGAGCAUGUGGUUUAAUUCGAAGCAACGCGAAGAACCUUACCAGGUCUUGACAUCCUUUGACCACUCUGGAGACAGAGCUUUCCCUUCGGGGACAAAGUGACAGGUGGUGCAUGGUUGUCGUCAGCUCGUGUCGUGAGAUGUUGGGUUAAGUCCCGCAACGAGCGCAACCCUUGAUUUUAGUUGCCAGCAUUUAGUUGGGCACUCUAAAGUGACUGCCGGUGCAAGCCGGAGGAAGGUGGGGAUGACGUCAAAUCAUCAUGCCCCUUAUGACCUGGGCUACACACGUGCUACAAUGGAUAGUACAAAGGGUCGCGAAGCCGCGAGGUGGAGCUAAUCCCAUAAAACUAUUCUCAGUUCGGAUUGUAGGCUGCAACUCGCCUACAUGAAGCCGGAAUCGCUAGUAAUCGUGGAUCAGCAUGCCACGGUGAAUACGUUCCCGGGCCUUGUACACACCGCCCGUCACACCACGAGAGUUUGUAACACCCGAAGUCGGUAGGGUAACCUUUAUGGAGCCAGCCGCCGAAGGUGGGACAGAUAAUUGGGGUGAAGUCGUAACAAGGUAGCCGUAUCGGAAGGUGCGGCUGGAUCACCUCCUUUCUAAGGAA